CAGUCGCCGCGGUAAUACGUAGGUCCCGAGCGUUGUCCGGAUUUAUUGGGCGUAAAGCGAGCGCAGGCGGUCAAUUAAGCCUGAUGUGAAAGCCCCCGGCUCAACCGGGGAGGGUCAUUGGAAACUGGUUGACUUGAGUGCAGAAGAGGAGAGUGGAAUUCCAUGUGUAGCGGUGAAAUGCGUAGAGAUCGGGAGGAACACCAGAGGCGAAGGCGGCGACCUGGACAAGUACUGACACUCAACUACGAAAGCGUGGGGAGCAAACAGGAUUAGAUACCCCCGUAGUCCCUGUCUCUUAUAC
rnacentral:rRNA from 1 species